rnacentral:rRNA from 1 species
CAGGGAGACAGGUGGUGCAUGGUUGUCGUCAGCUCGUGUCGUGAGAUGUUGGGUUAAGUCCCGCAACGAGCGCAACCCCUACGUUUAGUUGCUAACGCGUGAAGGCGAGCACUCUAGACGAACUGCCGUUGACAAAACGGAGGAAGGUGGGAUGACGUCAAAUCAUCAUGCCCCUUAUGUUCUGGGCUACACACGUGCUACAAUGGCCGGUACAGACGGACGCAAAGCCGCGAGGUGGAGCAAAUCCUAAAAAGCCGGUCUCAGUUCGGAUUGCAGGCUGCAAUUCGCCUGCAUGAAGUCGGAAUCGCUAGUAAUCGCCAGGUCCAGCAUACUGCGGUCGAAUACGUUCCGGGCCUU